rnacentral:rRNA from 1 species
GGGGAAUAUUGGACAAUGGGGGCAACCCUGAUCCAGCCAUGCCGCGUGAGUGAUGAAGGCCUUAGGGUUGUAAAGCUCUUUCGCUAGGGAAGAUAAUGACGGUACCUAGAGAAGAAGCCCCGGCUAACUUCGUGCCAGCAGCCGCGGUAAUACGAAGGGGGCUAGCGUUGUUCGGAAUUACUGGGCGUAAAGCGCACGUAGGCGGACAUUUAAGUCAGGGGUGAAAUCCCAGGGCUCAACCCUGGAACUGCCUUUGAUACUGGGUGUCUUGAGUACGAGAGAGGUGAGUGGAAUUCCGAGUGUAGAGGUGAAAUUCGUAGAUAUUCGGAAGAACACCAGUGGCGAAGGCGGCUCACUGGCUCGUAACUGACGCUGAGGUGCGAAAGCGUGGGGAGCAAAC